rnacentral:rRNA from 1 species
GGAGGANUUCGCANGGAGAAGUCUGACGGAGCAACGCCGCGUGAGUGAUGAAGGUUUUCGGAUCNUAAAGCUCUGUUGUUAGGGAAGAACAAGUGCCGUUCAAAUAGGGCGGCACCUUGACGGUACCUAACCAGAAAGCCACGGCUAACUACGUGCCAGCAGCCGCGGUAAUACGUAGGUGGCAAGCGUUGUCCGGAAUUAUUGGGCGUAAAGGGCUCGCAGGCGGUUUCUUAAGUCUGAUGUGAAAGCCCCCGGCUCAACCGGGGAGGGUCAUUGGAAACUGGGGAACUUGAGUGCAGAAGAGGAGAGUGGAAUUCCACGUGUAGCGGUGAAAUGCGUAGAGAUGUGGAGGAACACCAGUGGCGAAGGCGACUCUCUGGUCUGUAACUGACGCUGAGGAGCGAAAGCGUGGGGAGCGAACAGGAUUAGAUACCCUGGUAGUCCACGCAA